AGCCCGUAACUUGAUUAUUUGAGCAAGAAGAUUUGAGAAGGCAAAAUUUUAAGAAGAGAGAAGACAAACAUGAGACCAUCUAGUUGAAGCAUCUAUUAAAACCAUGAAAUAUCGAAAUGGGCCAGACAAUGGGUGAAUAGGUCCACAAAUGUCUCCUUGAAUUCUCUCUAGGAAUUUUGGGGCUUCUUUAUAAACUUUUACUGGUGAUGGUCGAACAAUUAAUUUUCCUCGAGAAC
rnacentral:lncRNA from 1 species